rnacentral:rRNA from 1 species
UACGUAGGUGGCAAGCGUUGUCCGGAUUUACUGGGCGUAAAGAGCGCGCAGGCGGCUGGUCAAGUCCGAUGUGAAAUCUCCCGGCUCAACUGGGAAACUGCAUCGGAAACUGAUCGGCUUGAAGGUGGGAGAGGGUAGUGGAAUUCCCGGUGUAGUGGUGAAAUGCGUAGAUAUCGGGAGGAACACCAGUGGCGAGGCGACUACCUGGCCCAUUCUUGACGCUGAGGCGCGAAAGCUAGGGGAGCGAACGGG